rnacentral:rRNA from 1 species
AUGCAAGUCGAGCGGAACGAGUUAUCUGAACCUUCGGGGAACGAUAACGGCGUCGAGCGGCGGACGGGUGAGUAAUGCCUAGGAAAUUGCCCUGAUGUGGGGGAUAACCAUUGGAAACGAUGGCUAAUACCGCAUAAUACCUACGGGUCAAAGAGGGGGACCUUCGGGCCUCUCGCGUCAGGAUAUGCCUAGGUGGGAUUAGCUAGUUGGUGAGGUAAUGGCUCACCAAGGCGACGAUCCCUAGCUGGUCUGAGAGGAUGAUCAGCCACACUGGAACUGAGACACGGUCCAGACUCCUACGGGAGGCAGCAGUGGGGAAUAUUGCACAAUGGGCGCAAGCCUGAUGCAGCCAUGCCGCGUGUGUGAAGAAGGCCUUCGGGUUGUAAAGCACUUUCAGUCGUGAGGAAGGUAGUGUAGUUAAUAGCUGCAUUAUUUGACGUUAGCGACAGAAGAAGCACCGGCUAACUCCGUGCCAGCAGCCGCGGUAAUACGGAGGGUGCGAGCGUUAAUCGGAAUUACUGGGCGUAAAGCGCAUGCAGGUGGUUUGUUAAGUCAGAUGUGAAAGCCCGGGGCUCAACCUCGGAAUAGCAUUUGAAACUGGCAGACUAGAGUACUGUAGAGGGGGGUAGAAU